AAAAGGUGGAGGUGGGGUGACGUCAGAACACUUCAAGAACCUUGACUAAACUGCCUUCAGGAUAGUAGUCUUAUGCCUUUACUCUGCCGCCUAACCGUUAAGAGGAAAAUUCAGAGGGCAUGGAAGGUGUGAUGAGGGUGACGACUUUCAGUGGAGGAGAUACGGAAGGUGGAUAGAGGCUGAGUAUAGAAUGACAAGGAAGGGAAAGGGAGGAUAGAUGAGAGAAGGGGUUGGAAGAUGGUGAUAACUUGAAGACAUUUAAGAGAUACAGAAGGUGGAUAGAGGCUGAGUAUAGAAUGACAAGGAAGGGAAAGGGAGGAUAGAUGAGAGAAGGGGUUGGAAGAUGGUGAUAACUUGAAGACAUUUAAGAGAUACAGAAGGUGGAUAGAGGCUGAGUAUAGAAUGACAAGGAAGGGAAAGGGAGGAUAGAUGAGAGAGGGGGUUGGAAGAUGGUGAUAACUUGAAGACAUUUAAGAGAUACAGAAGGUGGAUAGAGGCUGAGUAUAGAAUGACAAGGAAGGGAAAGGGAGGAUAGAUGAGAGAGGGGGUUGGAAGAUGGUGAUAACUUGAAGACAUUUAAGAGAUACAGAAGGUGGAUAGAGGCUGAGUAUAGAAUGACAAGGAAGGGAAAGGGAGGAUAGAUAUGAGAAGGGGUUGGAAGAUGGUGAUAACUUGAAGACAUUUAAGAGAUACAGAAGGUGGAUAGAGGCUGAGUAUAGAAUGACAAGGAAGGGAAAGGGAGGAUAGAUGAGAGAAGGGGUUGGAAGGUGUAUAUAACUUGAAGACAUUUAAGAGAUACAGAAGGUGGAUAGAGGCUGAGUAUAGAAUGACAAGGAAGGGAAAGGGAGGAUAGAUGAGAGAAGGGGUUGGAAGGUGUAUAUAACUUGAAGACAUUUAAGAGAUACAGAAGGUGGAUAGACUGGGAGCAGGAAGAGAAGGACAAAUGGAAAGGAAAGAGUGAAUAUAUGAGGGAUGCUGACAACAAAAUAGAGGAAGCAAGAAAACAAAAAAAAAUGACAGGUAGACAAGUGGGAAAGGAAGAGGACACAGUGGAGGAGAAAAAGAAUGAUGACGAUUAGAAGAUGGGAAUGAAAGAGGAAAGGGAAGGAAAGGAACAAGAGAGGAGAGAAGAACAGGAUGAAGAGGAACAGAAAUGACAGGACAGACACACAAAACAGGCCUAUUUAUUAUGACGAUUAGAAGAUGGGAAUGAAAGAGGAAAGGGAAG